UGGGGAAUAUUGCACAAUGGGCGAAAGCCUGACGCAGCGACGCCGCGUGUGGGAUGAAGGUCUUCGGAUUGUAAACCACUGUCGGGAGGGACGAAGCUCUGACGGUACCUCCAAAGGAAGCACCGGCUAACUCUGUGCCAGCAGCCGCGGUAAUCCAGAGGGUGCGAGCGUUGUCCGGAAUCACUGGGCGUAACGGGCGCGUAGGCGGCUUGGUAAGUAGGGGGUGAAAUCUCACGGCUCAACUGUGAGGCUGCCUUCUAGACUGCCGAGCUCGAGCACAGUAGAGGCUGGUGGAAUUCCCGGUGUAGCGGUGGAAUGCGUAGAGAUCGGGAAGAACAUCUGUGGCGAAGGCGGCCAGCUGGGCUGUUGCUGACGCUGAUGCGCGACAGCGUGGGGAGCAAA
rnacentral:rRNA from 1 species